UAUGUGAUCGUCUCUCGCAUAUCAAUAAGCGGAGGAAAAGAAACUAACAAGGAUUCCCCUAGUAACGGCGAGUGAAGCGGGAAGAGCUCGAAUUUGAAAUCUUAAAGGGUUUCCCUUUACGAAUUGUAGUUUAAAGAAGUGUUUUCUGUUGAGGAUUUUGGUAAAAGUUCUUUGGAAUAGGACAGUCAUAGAGGGUGAGAAUCCCGUAUUUGACCUUUACUUUCAACUUUGUGAUACACUUUCAAAGAGUCGGAUUGUUUGGGAAUGCAGUCCAAAAUGGGUGGUAAAUUUCAUCUAAAGCUAAAUAUUGGCGAGAGACCGAUAGCGAACAAGUACCGUGAGGGAAAGAUGAAAAGAACUUUGAAAAGAGAGUUAAACAGUACGUGAAAUUGUCAAAAGGGAAGCGUUUGACACCAGUGUUGUUUUUCUGAAAAUCAAUUAAAGAACUGUUUAUGCUAAGCUGUUUAGACUUUAUCAGCUAUCUGUUUAGUUUUGAGCUUUUCCUUAAUGCACUUUUCAGUUAACAAGUCAACAUCAAUUUCUUUUGCUGUAAAAAAGCUUGAGGAAGGUGGCUUGAGAUUCGUCUUAAGUGUUUAUAGCCUCUUGCCUAUGCAGUCGGAGAGAUUGAGGUCUGCAGCGUAGAUCCUUCGGGGCUAAAUGCAUUUGUGCUAAGUUAUAGCAUUUUAUAGACAACUUGUUGACUAUGAUUUGUCUUGUAGCUUACUCGCUUAUGUUAUUUUACCUACGCUUAGGAUGUUGAUCUACAGAGCGAGAGU
rnacentral:rRNA from 1 species